ACAAAGGGCAGCAAGUUCGCGAGGACAAGCAAAUCCCAUAAACCGUGGCUCAGUUCAGAUCGUAGGCUGCAACUCGCCUACGUGAAGGAGGAAUCGCAAGUAAUCGCAGGUCAGCAUACUGCGGUGAAUACGUUCCCGGGCCUUGUACACACCGCCCGUCACACCAUGGAAGUUGGCCACGCCCGAAGCCGUUACUCCAACCCUUGUGGAGGAGGACGUCGAAGGUGGGGCUGAUGACUGGGGUGAAGUCGUAACAAGGUAUCCGUACCGGAAGGUGCGGAUGGAUCACCUCCUAAC
rnacentral:rRNA from 1 species